rnacentral:pre_miRNA from 1 species
AUUAUACUCCCUCCGUCCGAAAAUACUUGUCAUCAAAAUGGAGAAAAAGGGAUGUAUCUAAAACUAAAAUACAUUUAGAUACAUCCCUUUUAUCCAUUUUGAUGACAAGUAUUUCCGGACGGAGGGAGUAUAUA